rnacentral:rRNA from 1 species
GUGGGGAAUAUUGGACAAUGGGCGCAAGCCUGAUCCAGCCAUGCCGCGUGUGUGAAGAAGGCCUUUUGGUUGUAAAGCACUUUAAGCGAGGAGGAGGCUCCUUUAGUUAAUACCUAAAGAGAGUGGACGUUACUCGCAGAAUAAGCACCGGCUAACUCUGUGCCAGCAGCCGCGGUAAUACAGAGGGUGCGAGCGUUAAUCGGAUUUACUGGGCGUAAAGCGUGCGUAGGCGGCUUUUUACGUCGGAUGUGAAAUCCCUGAGCUUAACUUAGGAAUUGCAUUCGAUACUGGAAAGCUAGAGUAUGGGAGAGGAUGGUAGAAUUCCAGGUGUAGCGGUGAAAUGCGUAGAGAUCUGGAGGAAUACCGAUGGCGAAGGCAGCCAUCUGGCCUAAUACUGACGCUGAGGUACGAAAGCAUGGGGAGCAAACAGGAUUAGAUACCCUUGUAGUCC